rnacentral:rRNA from 1 species
UAGGGAAUCUUCCACAAUGGGCGAAAGCCUGAUGGAGCAACGCCGCGUGUGUGAUGAAGGCUUUCGGUCGUAAAGCACUGUUGUAUGGAAGAACAGCUAGAAUAGGAAAUGAUUUUAGUUUGACGGUACCAUACCAGAAAGGGACGGCUAAAUACGAGUCAG